UGGAAUAUUGGUAAUGGCAAGAGGGUUAGGUUCUCAGAGGAUCAUUGGUUCGGCAAUGCCACCCUGGCUACCCAGUAUUGGGACCUUUAUGUACUAGCCAAUGAGCAAAAUCCCGCCAUUGAUAAAAUAUGGGAUGGC
rnacentral:rRNA from 1 species